GAGAAUCCUCAUUAGGUUGUUUUUCCGUUGGCCCCUUCCCCCCCUCAGUUAUUUCAGUUUUCAGGAUUUUAAGAAGUGACCACAAAAAUGUAUAAACCUUGGUGGGAGGAGUAAAAUACGACUACCCCUUAAAAUCGACAGGACUCGUGGGGCGCCUGGGGGGCUCAGUCGGUUGAGCGUCCGACUUCGGCUCAGGUCAUGAUCUCACGGCUCGUGAGUUCGAGCCCCGCGUCGGGCUCUGCGCUGACAGCUCGGAGCCUGGAGCCUGCUUCGGAUUCUGUGUCUCCCCUCUCUCUCUGCCCCUCCCCAGCCCAUUCGUGCACACAUGUGA